UACGUAGGGUGCAAGCGUUAAUCGGAAUUACUGGGCGUAAAGGGCGCGUAGGCGGCGACCCAAGUCAGAUGUGAAAGUCCUGGGCUUAACCUGGGGACUGCAUUUGAUACUGGGUUGCUUGAAUUCGGGAGAGGAUAGCGGAAUUCCCAGUGUAGAGGUGAAAUUCGUAGAUAUUGGGAAGAACACCGGUGGCGAAGGCGG
rnacentral:rRNA from 1 species